rnacentral:lncRNA from 1 species
AAUAUUCUGAAUGGUCAGCUGCGUACACCAAUAUUUAUUCCGUAUAUUAAGCCUCAUUACAUGUUUUCUUGGCCUCUUCAACAGGGUCCCCUCAUUGUGAUUUCUGCUGCCACUGUCUCGAACAUUCUUCAGGAAGACUGUUUUGCUUUAAAACUUCAGGCCCAGCAGAGACAUGCACCCCGUACUGUGUUCCUAGUACAGUUAA